UCUUAAAGCAGUUUGCACAACUGUUUUUCAUCGUGAUUAUCAACGUAACAUCUAGUGUCAUGUCGCUGAUGUUUUCUUUAAACCGUGUUUUCUUUAAAUCAAGAUGUACUCUGCGUGCCUGGACCUGAGCUUCUCUUGUCACUGUGGUGUUUUAUCAUUCAGAACGGAUUGGAAUGCAGCUGGGAGACUUUUAAGUGGUAAAUAAUGCAGCCUGGGAGGGGGGCAAACGUGGUUUAAACUUAGUUUCCACAACGGUCUCAACACGAAGAGUGAGACUAAUGAACAAGAGGACACUGAUGCUGGACGAUAUGGACAUCCAAGACAAUGGUGAAUCGGAGCAUCACUGAAACUUCUGCUGCAACAUAGAGAAAUGCAAUUACCAUUUUUUACAUCGCAAGAUUCCACGAACAACAAUGAGAAUAAUGACCAUUCGUCUUUCCUGGCUGAAAAGUGAUUGUCAACGAAAAUACUUGGAAAACGUUUGCUCUCCCUCUUCACAAAUGACAGUAUUUUAGUAUGGGAACUGAUGUUGGGGUCUCAAUCUCCCUCACUGGCACCUCUGAGCACCAGUUAAGAGACUUGAGUGCACAAUGUCGGGUGACACUUCUGUCCAGUAUUUGGGGGAGUGCUGCACGCUCGGAGGAGCAGUUUCCUACUGAGUCUCUGUAGUCCGUGCAUGGUCCACGUGAGAGGACAGUUCCGCGUAUCCGAACACGGCAUUUCCAACUGCGUAGCUCUAAGCCAAAGCUAAUCUUUUUCAACAUUAAUUGCCCCCGUCCUCCUUCAUCAGAGCACCAACUCUCAUUAUUAAUAAAUUAAAAACGGACUCUUGUGGCUUAAUUGG